rnacentral:rRNA from 1 species
UGCCAGCAGCCGCGGUAAGACAUGAGGAGCCAGUGUUAUUCAGAAUUACUGGGCGUAAAGCGCGCGUAGGUGGUCUGUUAAGUCGGAUGUGAAAGCCCCGGGCUCAACCUGGGAACUGCAUUCGAUACUGGCAGACUAGAGUGCGAGAGAGGGAGGUAGAAUUCCAUGUGUAGCGGUGAAAUGCGGAGAUAUGUGGAGGAAUACCAGUGGCGAAGGCGGCCUCCUGGCCCGACACUGACACUGAGGUGCGAAAGCGUGGGGAGCAAACAGGAUUAGAUC